rnacentral:rRNA from 1 species
UACGUAGGGUGCAAGCGUUAAUCGGAAUUACUGGGCGUAAAGCGUGCGCAGGCGGUUUGGUAAGACAGAUGUGAAAUCCCCAGGCUCAACCUGGGAACUGCGUCUGAUACUGGAUGGCUUGAAUCCGGGAGAGGGAUGCAGAAUUCCAGGUGUAGCGGUGAAAUGCGUAGAUAUCUGGAGGAAUACCGGUGGCGAAGGCGGCAUCCUGGACCGGCAUUGACGCUGAGGAGCGAAAGCCAGGGGAGCAAACGGG